rnacentral:rRNA from 1 species
ACGGAAGGCAGCAGUGGGGAAUAUUGGGCAAUGGGGGAAACCCUGACCCAGCAACGCCGCGUGAAGGAAGAAGGCUUUCGGGUUGUAAACUUCUUUUAACAGGGAGAUAAUGACGGUACCUGUUGAAUAAGCCACGGCUAACUACGUGCCAGCAGCCGCGGUAAUACGUAGGUGGCAAGCGUUAUCCGGAUUUACUGGGUGUAAAGGGCGCGUAGGCGGGAGUGCAAGUCAGAUGUGAAAUCCAUGGGCUUAACCCAUGAACUGCAUUUGAAACUGUGCUUCUUGAGUGUCGGAGAGGUAGAUGGAAUUCCUAGUGUAGCGGUGAAAUGCGUAGAUAUUAGGAAGAACACCAGUGGCGAAGGCGAUCUACUGGACGAUAACUGACGCUGAGGCGCGAAAGCGUGGGGAGCAAACAGGAUUAGAUACCCUGGUA